rnacentral:snoRNA from 1 species
AUUGCCUCUUGAAUAACUGAAGUGGUGGUGCGACCUGCACACAUACCCUUCGGUUCAGACGGAGGCACAAAUAGAGAUUGAAACACAAACAAUUUAGGAUAAGGAAAGCUCUUUUUAUAUUCCUGUUCCUUUCCUAGUUGACUUCAAACAUUU